UACGGGGGGGGCAAGCGUUGUUCGGAAUUACUGGGCGUAAAGGGCUCGUAGGCGGCCAACUAAGUCGGAUGUGAAAUCCCCAGGCUUAACCUGGGAACUGCAUCCGAUACUGGAUGGCUUGAAUCCGGGAGAGGGAUGCGGAAUUCCAGGUGUAGCGGUGAAAUGCGUAGAUAUCUGGAGGAACACCGGUGGCGAAGGCGGCAUCCUGGACCGGUAUUGACGCUGAGGCGCGAAAGCCAGGGGAGCAAACGGGG
rnacentral:rRNA from 1 species